rnacentral:rRNA from 1 species
UACGUAGGGUGCAGGCGUUAAUCGGAAUUACUGGGCGUAAAGCGUGCGCAGGCGGUUUGCUAAGACAGGUGUGAAAUCCCCGGGCUUAACCUGGGAACUGCGCUUGUAACUGGCAAGCUUGAGUGUGGCAGAGGGGGGUGGAAUUCUACGUGUAGCAGUGAAAUGCGUAGAGAUGUGGAGGAACACCGAUGGCGAAGGCAGCCCCCUGGGCUAACACUGACGCUCAUGCACGAAAGCGUGGGGAGCAAACAGG